UACGGAGGGUGCAAGCGUUGUCCGGAAUUACUGGGUGUAAAGGGCGUGUAGGCGGGGAUGUAAGUCAGAUGUGAAAUACCAAGGCUUAACUUUGGGGCUGCAUCUGAAACUAUGUUUCUUGAGUGCUGGAGAGGAAAGCGGAAUUCCUAGUGUAGCGGUGAAAUGCGUAGAUAUUAGGAGGAACACCAGUGGCGAAGGCGGCUUUCUGGACAGUAACUGACGCUGAGGCGCGAAAGCGUGGGGAG
rnacentral:rRNA from 1 species